AAACUCGAAAGGAAUUGACGGGGGCCCGCACAAGCGGUGGAGCAUGUGGCUCAAUUCGAUGCAACGCGAAGAACCUUACCAGGCCUUGACAUGCACUAGACAGACUCUGAAAGGAGUCCCUCCCUUCGGGGCUGGUGCACAGGUGCUGCAUGGCUGUCGUCAGCUCGUGUCGUGAGAUGUUGCGUUAAGUCGCGCAACGAGCGCAACCCCUGUCCCUAGUUGCCAGCAUUAAGUUGGGGACUCUAGGGAGACAACCUCUUUUAGAGGUGGGAAGGUGGGGAUGACGUCAAGUCAGGAUGGCCCUUACGGCCUGGGCUGCACACGUGCUACAAUGCCCGGUACAGAGGGAAGCAAUACCGCGAGGUGGAGCAAAUCCUCAAAACCGGGCCCAGUUCAGAUUGCAGUCUGCAACUCGACUGCAUGAAGUUGGAAUCGCUAGUAAUGGCGCAUCAGCUACGGCGCCGUGAAUACGUUCCCGGGCCUU
rnacentral:rRNA from 1 species